UACGGGGGGAGCAAGCGUUGUUCGGAUUUACUGGGCGUAAAGGGCGCGUAGGCGGCGUGACAAGUCACUUGUGAAAUCUCCGGGCUUAACUCGGAACGGUCAAGUGAUACUGUCGUGCUAGAGUACAGAAGGGGCAACUGGAAUUCUCGGUGUAGCGGUGAAAUGCGUAGAUAUCAGGAGGAACACCAGCGGCGAAGGCGGCGCUCUGGGCCGGUACUGACACUGAGGAGCGAAAGCGUGGGUAGCAAACAGG
rnacentral:rRNA from 1 species